CCAGCCCUCCCCGAUUCUCUCUCUCUGUUUUCCCCUCAGACCCGGCGGGUCGAGCUCGACCCGACCCGACAUUUUCACCCUCCUCCGGCCUCCUCUGGCCACGGACCCGGCCUUCCCCGAGCUCGCCGUCGCACGCCCAGCCGUUACCUGCCACCAUCUUGCCCCGCCGCUGCCCCCAGAUGGAGAUCGAAGACGCCCCAGCCGUGUGAACCCGACCCGACCGGAAAACGACUUUUCCGGCGUUGCAUGGGCCGAUCGUCCCCAUUUUCGUGAUCUCCUCCUCAUGCUGAUCAUCCCCAUACGCACGAGAUUAAUCCAACUUCAACGCUUGAUUUAGGACGAUCUAGGCCGAACCAGGCUUAGCUCCAGGUGAUUGACGGUUUGAGUUGGUGGACGAUUGUGGAUCGUAUUUUGAGCUGAAUUGAAGACGCAGCGGGAUUAUCGAG